rnacentral:lncRNA from 1 species
AGAGAAAAGAUCUGAGAGAAAAGCCUGGGACUCUGCCACCCAGCUCCCUGGCCCCUGGGAGAAGCCAUGGCAGAUAUUUGGGAUGAGGCAGCAUGCUGGUCCCUCAGCAGCAUCCUUAUCACGUCAGCUGUGAGAGAAAUAAAACUGUGAGACUGUGAAGUGUAUAAAGGAUUCUACCGCUCUCCCGGGGCUUGGAGACCCACAGAUUGGAGAAAGGGCCAUCCAUGGAGGGCUGGAUGGUGUCCUCACUCUCCCAUCACACAGCUCUUCUGAUGAUGUUUUUGCUUGUCUUUCUGGAAGUUCGCUCUGAUCCAAAAUUACAUCUGCAAGGGGCAGCUGAAGUCCAUCAGUUCUGUGAAGUCUUCUGGGAGUUGCCUCAGCCUAGAGAUCUCUUCCUCCAUUUCUCCAAAUAUUUCAGUUAGCUCUAAAUGAACAAUUAGCAUCUCCUAAUUGUGCAACUAUUUAAUUUUGGUUUCCUCAACCAAGGAGUUAAUCCCUUUCUGAGGGCAGGUACUGUCAACUUCUUUUGAUUUUUCUACACUGCAUGUGGCCAUCCCAGAUAACUCACUAACAAUAAAUUCUUGAUGACAUGACUCUACAUGGUAAGACGGCACUACUCACUUGCCAAGAGCCAAACAGAUAUUUUGGAAUCAUUUCCCAGAUAGUGAUAAAAAAUGGGCACAGACCAUUUGUAAUCUUUCAUCCCAUCUUCCUUUUGACUAGUGUCAUCCCUGUAAACCAUGAGUGAUCAGGAUUACAUCUCUACAUUCAGCAGGAGUAGAAUAGAAUUUCCAUUUGCACACAAAACUGACUCACUGAGAGCAAUUUAGUGAUCUCAGUAGAUGGGCCUGCUGCAUGGAAAGGCAGCCAACAGAUGGGGAGUGUCCCUAUCUUAGCCAGAGGAGGGGAAAGUAUGGGAUUCAAUCUGUUUCUUUAAAAGCUGAAGGAUAAACUGAAGAUGAUGUUCAUAAAAACUGUAUUUCCAUUGUUAAGGAGAAAAAUAGAUAGGUAAGCUCAGCCCUCUUUUGAUAAAAGUUGAACAGAGAGGUGAAAAAGGGAAUCCAUUUGUUUAUGCACUUAUCCUAAAGAGAACAUUGAAAGUCAAGGGGGUAUGUCCAGUGGUUUGCAAAGUGGUGUCUCCAGGGGACAUUUACAGUCAAUGUCAUCUACAGAAAGUUGCUGUCUUUGCUAUAGUGAAGGGCAAAUCAUCUCCCAAUUGCGCUGCUUUUCAAGAUUCCAUGAGGAGCUCUACUCUUGAAAAUUUCUGAAUCAAAAUAGAAUCUUAAGGAGUCUAAUUCUAAAUACAAACUUCAUGUGUAAGAUUCUCGCCAUGGCUGUAUGGCAGGUUUUUAAAGAAAGUAUGAGAAUGGUGUAUUUUAUCCAAGUGCUUGUUGCUGUUUUGCUCACUGGUGUCCUAAGCACCUAGAAAAGUCCUUGGCAGUUUUUAGGUGCACAAUAAGUAUUUAAUUUUAUUAUUCCUAAAUUAUUGGUUCGAUGAUUGGGUGUAUACAAGUGCAUAUGUGGAUAUGUGCAUUUGAAUGGAGAGAAAGAAAAAGUACAUGCUUACUCUCUGUGCUAUAAUGUCU